AGUAAACUUGCUGGCUACUUCAGUGGGUGUUAAACACAUUUCUAUCAGCAAAUGAACACAUUUAUAGCAGCAAAUAUGUUGAAUUAUAGCCAUGGUAUAAAAGGGAUCGUCAACUCGGGGCGCUAUACAUUCUCUGGGAAAUAAUGCAGCUCCAUACAAGGCUUGUCACCUAAAACCCUGACAAACUUUUACAGAUUCGCAAUUGAGAGCAUCCUGUUAGGCUGUAUCACUGCCUGGUACGGCAACUACACCGCCCUCAACCGCAAGGUUCUGCAUCCAGAGAGUGGUGCGGUCUGCACAACACAUCACUGGGGGCAAACUACCUGUCGGUGUCCUGCGCUCUAGGACACCAACAGCACCGGAUGUCACAGGAUGGCCAAAAACAUCAUCAAGGACUACAACCACCCAAGCCACUGCCUGUUCACCCUGCUACCAUCCAGAAGGCGAGGUCAGUACAGGUGCAUCAAAGCUGGGACCGAGAGACUGAAAAACAGCUUCUAUCUCAAGGCCAUCAGACCGCUAAACAGCAAUCACUAACUCAGAGAGGCUGCUGCCAACAUAGAGACUCAAAUCAUUGGCCACUUUAAUAAAUGGAUCACUAGUCACUUUAAACAAUCCCACUUUACUAAUGUUUACAUAUCUUACAUUACUCAUCUCAUAUGUAUAUACUGUAUCUUAUACCAUCUAUUGCAUCUUGCCUAUGCCGCUUUGCCAUCGCUCAUCCAUAUAUUCAUAUGUACAUAUUCUUAUAGUUGUAAAUUAGAACUUGUUCUCAACUAGCCUACCUGGUUAAAUAAAGGUGAAAUAAAUAAAUAAAUUCAAUCCCUUUAGAUGUGUGUGUACACGGUAGUGGUUGUGGAAUUGUUAGAUUACUUGUUAGAUAUUGCUGCACUGUCGGAACUAGAAGCACAAGAAUUUCCCUACACUCACAUUAACAUCUGCUAACCAUGUGUAUGUGACCAAUAAAAUGUGAUUUGAUUAUCACCACUACCUCCCAA